GGGGGCGUUCUGGAUUCGACGGGAAUGGUAGAGCAUAAGAAGCGAGCCGGGGGGCUGCGGACCCCGUCAACAACGCGGAAAGCCAUAACUGGCAACAAACAACUUUCUCUCGCUGCCUAAUAACCAGCGAGGCUCUAACACUCCAUCGGCCCGUGUGGCGUGAUUAGGGCUCACUUCUAACGGGCUACGCCGGAGGUCUCCGCCUGGGGCCAAAGGAAGAAGACCAAUCAGGCUAGGCAGUAAACUAGCGUGUCACUCCGCAGGUUUGCCGCCGAAUUCCCAAUAGAGUGACUGCGCUCGGAGAUGCUUAUGUGUCGCCGUUUUCGGACGGGGGUUCGAAUCCCCCCGCCUCCACCA
rfam:Bacillus sp. WF146 contig178, whole genome shotgun sequence.